UUCCUUACUCUCUGGGCCCAAGUGCCCGGGCUUCCAGCACCCACCGAGUCGCUACCGGUACUAAACAGACCAGUGCCCUGAAACGAAGAGAUGCGUCUAAAAGACAAGCGGAACUGGAAGCUGCCCUGCAAAGGAAGGUGGAGUCUGAGAGGAGAGCUGUACGCCUCGUAGAGCAGCUCCUGGAGGAGAACAUCACAGAAGAAUUCCUGAAGGAGUGUAUACCAAAACAGAAAUACCGGAUUUCUACUAAAACCAAUAAAGUCUAUGAUAUUACUGAAAGAAAGUCUUUCUGCAGCAAUUUUUGUUACAAAGCAUCUAAAUUUUUUGAAGCACAGAUUCCCAAAACUCCAGUAUGGGUUCGAGAGGAAGAGAGGCCUCCUGAAUUUCAGCUGCUGAAGAAAGGACAAAGUGGCUGUUCUGGAGAGGUCGUACAGUUCUUCAGAGACGCCGUUACAGCAGCAGAUGUCGAUGCUUAUGGUGCCUUUGAUGCACAGUGUGAACCUGCUUCCUCCAGCACUUGGAGCGAG
rnacentral:lncRNA from 1 species